UUGAACGCUGGCGGCAUGCUUUACACAUGCAAGUCGAACGGUAACAGGUUAAGCUGACGAGUGGCGAACGGGUGAGUAAUGCAUCGGAACGUGCCCGAUCGUGGGGGAUAACGGAGCGAAAGCUUUGCUAAUACCGCAUACGAUCUACGGAUGAAAGCAGGGGACCGCAAGGCCUUGCGCGGACGGAGCGGCCGAUGGCAGAUUAGGUAGUUGGUGGGAUAAAAGCUUACCAAGCCGACGAUCUGUAGCUGGUCUGAGAGGACGACCAGCCACACUGGGACUGAGACACGGCCCAGACUCCUACGGGAGGCAGCAGUGGGGAAUUUUGGACAAUGGGCGAAAGCCUGAUCCAGCCAUGCCGCGUGCAGGAUGAAGGCCUUCGGGUUGUAAACUGCUUUUGUACGGAACGAAAAGACUCCUUCUAAUAAAGGGGGUCCAUGACGGUACCGUAAGAAUAAGCACCGGCUAACUACGU
rnacentral:rRNA from 1 species